rnacentral:rRNA from 1 species
AGGAAGGCGGGGACGACGUCAAGUCAUCAUGGCCCUUACGGCCAGGGCUACACACGUGCUACAAUGGUCGGUACAAAGGGUUGCUACACAGCGAUGUGAUGCUAAUCUCAAAAAGCCGAUCGUAGUCCGGAUUGGAGUCUGCAACUCGACUCCAUGAAGUCGGAAUCGCUAGUAAUCGCGGAUCAGAAUGCCGCGGUGAAUACGUUCCCGGGCCUUGUACACACCGCCCGUCACACCAUGGGAGUUUGUUGCACCAGAAGUAGCUAGCCUAACUGCAAAGAGGGCGGUUACCACGGUGUGGCCGAUGACUGGGGUGAAGUCGUAACAAGGUAGCCGUAGGGGAACCUGCGGCUGGAUCACCUCCUUA